UACGGAGGGGGCAAGCGUUGUUCGGAAUUACUGGGCGUAAUGAGCGCGUAGGCGGCGAGAUCAGUCAGACGUGAAAGCCCCGGGCUCAACCUGGGAGGUGCGUUUGAUACUGUCUUGCUGGAGUCCGGGAGGGGAUGGCGGAAUUCCCAGUGUAGAGGUGAAAUUCGUAGAUAUUGGGAAGAACACCGGUGGCGAAGGCGGCCAUCUGGACCGGCACUGACGCUGAGGCGCGAAAGCGUGGGGAGCAAACAGG
rnacentral:misc_RNA from 1 species